CCUCACCGGAACCUGACCAUGUUGACAACCAGAUCUUGAACCUCCAAUCUCCAGAACUGUGAGAAACAAAUUUCUGUUGUUUCAGCCACCCAGUUUAUGGGUAUUUUGCUAUGGCAGCCCAAGCCAACUAAGACACUCUCAAUUUUUAAAAAUAUAAUAACUAAUAAAGAUUAAAAGAGGAAAAAUAACCUUGCCCCAGCAGCUGCCUGUGAUGUGUUUGUUCUGAUGAGCUCUACGCCCUGGCUUUGCCCUGUAGGAGGCUGUUAGACCAGGUGUUCCGGUCACCAUGGGCUACAGCUUAUGGGCAAGUGUGUCCAGCCACCUUUAUUGUCAUCUUGAGAAAACCACGUCGUCCGGUGGCACAACCGUAAUUACGGAGAAGGGCUGGGAAUUGAGCCAGGCCCUCAGAGCACAGCGAGACACGCAAAGAGGGUCCCUCCCCACUGGGGGCUUGGGAACCGGGGGCCAGACAAGAGGUGGGUGACAAGUGUUCUCUUGUCUGCGUCUGUGAUUUAAUAUACUGUUGACAUUUCCCCAGCCAAGCAGCAGCUGGGACGCCAGCUGCAUGAAAUUGGAUGGAUAAAAGCCGGGGCAAAGGGCAUUGUGACCUUGACCCUCUGUCAUUUUGCUACCAAUUCUGCCAGAGACAAUCUGGUACACUAAGCCUCUGAAGUCAGUAACAAGAUGGAUCAGAGAUGAUGAAAAAAAAAAGAGACAGAGAAUCCCACGUAAUUGUUCCUUUUCUGAGGAUCAUAUGGUUCUGCUGCUGUCUCUGGCAGAAAGGUCACGAGUCAGAAUCCAUCUAACUGUGCAGAGGAGACCCCCAGCUGCUGCAGUGAAAUCUGACAGGCUCCAGUUUCAUGCACUGAGCACCUACUAUGUGCCGGGCCAGAGCACACUGCAGGAAUGCCAUAGCAAACAAGACAGGUGAGGCUCCUGCCCUCAUGGACAGUCAUCCUGAUAAUAAUCAUAAUAUGGGUGACUUCUGUGGCUGGGAAGGAGACAGAUGGGACCCCUGCUCCCUGGGACUGACUUUCCAGUGGGAAGAAGGACAGUCAUCAAGGAACCCAACAAAUGAAUGACACCACCACAGGCAUGACAAGGGAAGCACAGAAAGAAAUAUUAUGCUGUGAAGAGGGCAAGGCUCUUCUGAGAAAACUCCUGCUCCAGGUGAGAGCAGGGCAAGAUGGAACUGAGACAGGAGGUGGGAAUGGACUCAGGAGGUGGGGCUCAAACACCAGACCAAAUUGAGGACAAGCUAAAACAGGAAUGGAGCAGAAGCAGCUUUCCAUAAGACACACCCGCCAGGGUGCCUCAUCAGUUUACCAUUGCUACGGUAACACACAGAAGUUACCAUCCCUUUCCAUGGCAACAACCCAAUGAUCUGUAAGUUACCACUCUUUUCCUAGAAACUUCUGCAUAAUCUGCCCCUUAAUUUACAUGUAAUUAAAAGUGGGUAUAAAUAUGAGUGCAGACCUGCCUCUGAGCUGCUACUCUGGGCACACUGCCUAUGGGGUAGCCCUGCUGUGCAAGGAGCAGCACCUCUGCUGCUGCUAUGCACUGCCUCUUCAGCAAAAGUUGCUGUCUAACCACUGGUUCACCCUUGAAUUCUUUCCUGCUUGAAGCCAAGAACCCUCUCAGUCUAAGCUCUUGCCUGCCCUGCAUCAUCUAAUGACCACAAAAAGACAAAGACAGCAGAGAUGGCAGCAAUCAGUAAUCAGCAGAGAGGCAGCAAUUGGCGAGACAUGACAAGAAAUGGCAGUCUGUGAGAUGCCAAGAGAAUAGUGAGAGAUGGUGAGACAGUGAUCAGCAAGACAAUGAGCAGAGACAGUGAGAGAUGGUAAAGCAACCUGUGAUUGAGACUGUGAGAGUUGUAACACUGAGGCUGUAACACCUAAGAGCUGCUCAAACUGCAGAGCUGUAACUCUAGCCCAAGGCUCUUUGAAGAGCCAUCAUCUUUCCCCAUUAGGUGGUGCAGCCAAGUAGACAGGCA
ensembl:lncRNA